GAUCAGUGGCUACAGGACGAACGCUGGCGGCGUGCCUAACACAUGCAAGUCGAACGAGGUCCAUCCUUCGGGAGAAGACCUAGUGGCGAACGGGUGAGUAACACGUGAGGAACCUGCCCGAAGGCCGGGAUAACCCUCCGAAAGGAGAGCUAAUACCGGAUACCCCCACCGAACCGCAUGGUUUGGUGAGGAAAUGGAUUCCGCUUCGGGAGGGCCUCGCGGCCUAUCAGCUAGUUGGUGGGGUAACGGCCCACCAAGGCAUCGACGGGUAGCUGGUCUGAGAGGACGAUCAGCCACACUGGGACUGAGACACGGCCCAGACUCCUACGGGAGGCAGCAGUGGGGAAUCUUGCGCAAUGGGCGAAAGCCUGACGCAGCAACGCCGCGUGGGGGAUGAAGGCUCUCGGGUUGUAAACCCCUUUCAGCAGGGACGAAUCAAGACGGUACCUGCAGAAGAAGCCCCGGCUAACUACGUG
rnacentral:rRNA from 1 species